UCCCUAGUGGCGCAAUGGAUAGCGCGUCAGUCUCCGGAACUGGAAGGUGCAGGUUCGAGUCCAGCUUAAGUCG